rnacentral:rRNA from 1 species
UAGUCCACGCCGUAAGCGAUGGGCACUAGAUAUCGGGGGGAAUUUCGAUUUCUUCGGUGUCGCAGGUUAAGCGCGAUAAGUGCCCCGCCUGGUGAGUACGCCCGCAAGGGUGAAACUCAAAGGAAUUGACGGGGGCCCGCACAAGCGGUGGAGCAUGCGCUUUAAUUCGAUGCAACGCGAAGAACCUUACCUGGGUUUGACAUGGGAGUGAAAGUUCCUAGAGAUAGGAACCUUUCCUUCGGGAACACUCCACACAGGUGCUGCAUGGUUGUCGUCAGCUCGUGUCGUGAGAUGUUGGGUUAAGUCCCGCAACGAGCGCAACCCUCGCCCUUAGUUGCCAUCAGGUAAUGCCGGGAACUCUAGGGGGACCGCCUGGAACAACCAGGAGGAAGGUGGGGAUGAUGUCAAAUCAUCAUGGCUCUUACGUCCAGGGCUAGACGCGUGCUACAAUGGUCGGUACAGAAGGAUGCCAAGUCGUGAGACCGAGCUAAUCCAUGAAAACCGGCCUCAGUUCGGAUUGGAGUCUGCAAUUCGACUCCAUGAAGGUGGAAUCGCUAGUAAUCGCGGAUCAGCACGCCGCGCUGAAUAUGUUCCCGGGCCUUGUACACACCGCCCGUCAAGCCACGAAAGAUGGGAGUACCCGAAGUCGCUUGCCCAACCUGCAAGGGGGGGUGGUGCCGAAGGUA